UACGUAGGGUGCAAGCGUUGUCCGGAAUUAUUGGGCGUAAAGAGCGUGUAGGCGGCCCGAUUAGUCCGCUGUGAAAGUCCAGGGCUCAACCCUGGAAUGCCGGUGGAUACUGUCGGGCUAGAGUCCGGAAGGGGCGAGUGGAAUUCCGUGGUGUAGCGGUGAAAGUGCGCAGAUAUCAGGAGGAACACCAAUGGCGAAGGCAGCUCGCUGGGACGUGACUGACGCUGAGACGCGAAAGCGUGGGGAGCAAACAGG
rnacentral:rRNA from 1 species